GGAUGUGAGGGUGACCUGGCUGCAACAUCUGUCAAUCCACUGAUCACCAGGGUUAACUCGGCUGGUCUGAUGGCUAGACAGUAGCCCCCUUCCUCCCUCAUCACUCUACAUGCAUCCUUCCCAAAGCAGCACAUUUGGUCAAAGAAGACAAUCUUCCCUGAUAGAAGAGGAUUGUUCUUCGGUCAGGGAUAUAUGAGUAGCUGUGGUCCCCUACUAGAACCUACAAAUAAGCUUGAAAGGUCCGUAAAGGCUAUUCUUUCCAGGAACUUGCUAACUUCACUGAUCUUCCCCAGGUCCAG
ensembl:misc_RNA 7SK 7SK RNA